rnacentral:lncRNA from 1 species
CUCAUUUGAAAUUUCAUAAAUAAAAAAGAAAAUUUCUUCAAACAUUUUUUUGAGAGGAUUAAUAUUCAAUUGCAUAGUGAAUUGCUCUAAGAGAAAACAAAAAAUUUAAGUUCAUUAGAACACAUUCAUUCUGUGUCAGAAACCUAUGCUGUGUCAACUAUUUAAUCACAAUCCAAAUUUAGAGCUGAAUCCAGCUUGAAUGUUGUGUCCAUACUUGCCCCAACCGUUCAGGGUUCAACCUCUGCGGUCGUAUAAAGCUACGCCCUGCGGAGCAUCUGGUUUAUAAUGUUGAAUUAUA